rnacentral:tRNA from 1 species
GGGGCGCAGCUCAGUGGAAGAGCACUCACCUGGCAUGUGCAAGGCCCUGGGUUCAAUCCUCAGUACCCCCCA